UACGUAGGGGGCAAGCGUUGUCCGGAAUUACUGGGCGUAAAGCGCGCGCAGGCGGUUCUUUCAAGUCAGAGGUGAAAGCCCAGGGCUCAACCCUGGAGUGGCCUUUUGAGACUAGAGGACUUGGGGUACGGGAGAGGUGAGUGGAAUUCCGAGUGUAGAGGUGAAAUGCGUAGAGAUCUGGAGGAACACCGGUGGCGAAGGCGGAUCUCUGGGCCAUUACUGACGCUGAGGAGCGAAAGCGUGGGGAGCGAACAGG
rnacentral:rRNA from 1 species